GACUGAACAAGCGGGAGCUGUGGAAACAUGCCCUAUAAUAACAAGAAGUAGGAUGACUCCUGGUUCCAGUGGGAAGAUGUGGCUGACUUCUUUGAAUAAUUCAGCAGGCUGGUAAAAGAUUUUGAAAGCCUGAAUCUUAACAGAUGUAAGGCCCAUCUUGAAUGUGUUCCCAAGGACCUAAUAAUGAAAAUAAAGCAAUCCUGUGCUACUGUGUCAUCUAUGGUGAGAAAAAAAGAACUACUACCCAGACAUCACUGGAUCCUGUUUUCAAGAGAGUAGAUAGAAUUGAAUCCAGCAAGGAACCAGAACCUGUGACAUCAAUAUCAUGUGUGAGAAAAUAAAGAAGGCAUGGGUUUGCUUCUGAUUAGGUUAUUACAAGAUAUUGAAUAUUGGACUUCCCUGGUGGUGCAGUGGUUAAGAAUCCGCCUGCCAAAGCAGGGGACAAAGGUUCGAACCCUGGUCCAGGAAGAUCCCACAUGCUGUGGAGCAACUAAGCCUGUGAGCCACAACUGCUGAGCCUGCACUUUAGAGCCCGUGAGCCACAACUACUGAUCCCACGUGCCACAACUACUGAAGCCUGUGCUCCUAGAGCCCAUGCUCUGCCACAAGAGAACCCACUGCA